rnacentral:rRNA from 1 species
AGUGAACGCUGGCGGUAGGCCUAACACAUGCAAGUCGAACGGCAGCACAGUAAGAGCUUGCUCUUACGGGUGGCGAGUGGCGGACGGGUGAGGAAUACAUCGGAAUCUACUUUUUCGUGGGGGAUAACGUAGGGAAACUUACGCUAAUACCGCAUACGACCUACGGGUGAAAGCAGUGGAUCUUCGGACCUUGCGCGAUUGAAUGAGCCGAUGUCGGACUAGCUAGUUGGCGGGGUAAAGGCCCACCAAGGCGACGAUCCGUAGCUGGUCUGAGAGGAUGAACAGCCACACUGGAACUGAGACACGGUCCAGACUCCUACGGGCGGCAGCAGUGGGGAAUAUUGGACAAUGGGCGAAAGCCUGAUACAGCCAUACCGCGUGGGUGAAGAAGGCCUUCGGGUUGUAAAGCCCUUUUGUUGGGAAAGAAAAGCAGCGGGUUAAUACCCCGCUGUUCUGACGGUACCCAAAGAAUAAGCACCGGCUAACUUCGUG